rnacentral:tmRNA from 1 species
GGGGCUGAUUCUGGAUUCGACGGGAUUUGCGAAAUCCAAGGUGCAUGCCGAGGGGCGGUUGGCCUCGUAAAAAGCCGCAAAAAAUAGUCGCAAACGACGAAAACUACGCUUUAGCAGCUUAAUAACCUGCUUAGAGCCCUCUCUCCCUAGCCUCCGCUCUUAGGACGGGGAUCAAGAGAGGUCAAACCCAAAAGAGAUCGCGUGGAAGUCCUGCCUGGGGUUGAAGCGUUAAAACUUAAUCAGGCUAGUUUGUUAGUGGCGUGUCCGUCCGCAGCUGGCAAGCGAAUGUAAAGACUGACUAAGCAUGUAGUACCGAGGAUGUAGGAAUUUCGGACGCGGGUUCAACUCCCGCCAGCUCCACCA